rnacentral:rRNA from 1 species
AGAGUUUGAUCCUGGCUCAGGACGAACGCUGGCGGCGUGCCUAACACAUGCAAGUCGAGCGAAGAAUAUAUAAAGAAAUCUUCGGGUGGAAAUAUAUAUUUCUUAGCGGCGGACGGGUGAGUAACGCGUGAGGAACCUGCCUUGUACUAGGGGAUAGCCUCGGGAAACCGGGAUUAAUACCCUAUGAUACUUGAGGAUCGCAUGAUUUUCAAGUCAAAGCGAUUAAGCGGUAUAAGAUGGACUCGCGUCCCAUUAGCUAGUUGGUGAGGUAAUAGCUCACCAAGGCGACGAUGGGUAGCCGGCCUGAGAGGGUGAACGGCCACACUGGAACUGAGACACGGUCCAGACUCCUACGGGAGGCAGCAGUGGGGAAUAUUGCACAAUGGAGGGAACUCUGAUGCAGCGACGCCGCGUGAGCGAUGAAGGUUUUCGGAUCGUAAAGCUCUGUCCUAAGGGACGAUAAUGACGGUACCUUAGGAGGAAGCCCCGGCUAACUACGUGCCAGCAGCCGCGGUAAUACGUAGGGGGCGAGCGUUGUCCGGAUUUAUUGGGCGUAAAGGGUGCGUAGGCGGCCUUGUAAGUCAGAUGUGAAAUCUCACGGCUUAACCGUGGUAAGCAUUUGAAACUGUGAGGCUUGAGUACAGGAGAGGAGAGUGGAAUUCCUAGUGUAGCGGUGAAAUGCGUAGAUAUUAGGAGGAAUACCAGUGGCGAAGGCGACUCUCUGGACUGUAACUGACGCUGAGGCACGAAAGCGUGGGGAGCAAACAGGAUUAGAUACCCUGGUAGUCCACGCCGUAAACGAUGAGUGCUAGGUGUCGGGGGUCAAACCUCGGUGCCGCAGUUAACACAUUAAGCACUCCGCCUGGGGAGUACGGUGGCAACACUGAAACUCAAAGGAAUUGACGGGGACCCGCACAAGCAGCGGAGCAUGUGGUUUAAUUCGAUGCAACGCGAAGAACCUUACCAGGGCUUGACAUCCCCCGGACGGAACUAGAGAUAGUUCAUUCCCUUCGGGGACUGGGGAGACAGGUGGUGCAUGGUUGUCGUCAGCUCGUGUCGUGAGAUGUUGGGUUAAGUCCCGCAACGAGCGCAACCCUUGUCUUUAGUUGCAAACAGUCAGGCUGUGCACUCUAAAGAGACUGCCGAUGACAAAUCGGAGGAAGGUGGGGAUGACGUCAAAUCAUCAUGCCCUUUAUGUCCUGGGCUACACACGUGCUACAAUGGUCGGUACAACGGGCAGCCACUUAGUGAUAAGGAGCUAAUCCCACAAAACCGAUCCCAGUUCGGAUUGUAGGCUGCAACCCGCCUACAUGAAGCCGGAGUUGCUAGUAAUCGCGGAUCAGAAUGCCGCGGUGAAUGCGUUCCCGGGUCUUGUACACACCGCCCGUCACACCAUGGGAGUUGACAAUACCCGAAGUCGGUGAGCUAACCGUAAGGAGGCAGCCGCCGAAGGUAGGGUCAAUGACUGGGGUGAAGUCGUAACAAGGUAGCCGUAUCGGAAGGUGCGGCUGGAUCACCUCCUU